CCUCAACGGAUGGCGAAGUGGUUUAGUGGCAAUCCGGAGCUGACGUGGCUUUAGCCACGUCAUUUUUAAUUAAAUUUUAAAUGACAUGGAUAUUUAAUGAUAAUUAAAAUAAAAUAAAAAAUAUAAUGCAUAAUUAAAAUAUUAAAGGCUAAAAAGCAUUUUUGGCCCCUGAUGUUUUAAGUUUGUGCAAAUUAUGCCCCUACUCUAUUUUUGUCGACAUUUCUACCCCUCAUGUUUUCAAACAGUGCACCAUCUACCCCUCCCUCAGUCAGGCUUUCUCAGGAGAGGUUCCUGAGUGGAUUGGAGAGAUGAAGAGGAGUAUAUGAAGUUAAUGAUGAUCAAGGAAAUGAUAUAAAUUAAAUUUGCUUGAUAUAUAUAUCAAUUAUGUAUGUAACUAAACUGGUUACACUACAAGGAAAAUAGCAUUUAGGGGCGGAAAUUCUGCGGCGGUUUACCGCCGCAAAGUGUAGGCAGCUCUAGAGGCGGUUAAGCCAAGCGCCCCAGUUUGAGUAUAAUUAGCGGCGGUCUUACUCAACUUGUGGCGGUUUUUAAGAUAUUUGCGGCGGUUAAACCAGAGGCGGUUAAACCAGCCGCCGCAGAAUGGGUUAAAUUUAACAAAAAAAAAUUAAAAAGGUCACGCGAACCAUAACUCAUUUACGCAUCUCACGAUUCACGUUCAACACUCUCAGAACCAAAGAACGAAACCUCCUCUCCUAUUCGUGUUCCUCUCAAUCGAAGAACGAAGGUUUCGUAGUGUGCAGUCAUGGGUUGAAGCCUCCUCUCCUCUUCGCGUUCCUCUCAAUCGAAUCGAAGGUUUCCAUAGCAAAGCUCAGCCAUGGAUUGAAUUGCGAUUUGCCUUUCUUCUCCACCAGAUUUGGAUCGAAGAACUCCAUUUUCUCCGUCUCUCCGUGUUCGCUUCGCCCUUCUUCUUCUACGAUUCGCGAUUUCUGCACACUGGUGCGAAUCUUCCAAUGACAAUCGAAUCAGCUGCUGAUGUGUUCUUGUGGAGGAAUGAGAAGAUAUCUAUCGUGGCUAUGCUUGCAGUUUUGUGUUUGUGAUCCACUACUCAAGCUUUUAUUCACAAGUAAGACUGAAGUCAGUUUGCUUUGGGAUUUUAGUUAUGGUUUCAAUUUCUGCUAGAUUGGAGGGCAUUGGACUGUUGCACUAUAAUUAUUGAAUGAAUGGCUUAAAAUUAACAAGUUCAAAUGAUAAGGAAUGGAGGGAUAAUCAGGUCUCUGAGACUUUAGGAAUGUUUUAAAAUCAAAGUUUUAGUUGUACAGGAAAUGAGUGAAGGGCAGAAAGACUGUUUGAUUGCAUUGUGCGUAUGCAUGUCCCGGGGCCCUGCUCCCACUACUCAAAAUGUCUUGAUCUGCCACUGUAUUGAGAGGAGUGAAUUGUAUAUGGACUGCACUAAUGCAUCUCUGCAAUAAUAUAAAUGUAGCCUUGAUCUUAAGCAUGAGAUGCAUAUAUCUCUGAAUGCAUCUUUUCCAGAGGAAAGCCCAAGGACAAGGGACCUGUGAGUUUGCAGGAACAGCCACUGCUAUUACAUCUGAUCAUUUUCCACUUGUUGUGUGGCAAACUGGCAGUGGCACGCAGAGUAACAUGAAUGCUAUUGAGAUCUGAUCUAAGCCUUUCCUGAGGUUCCAAGGAUAUCAGUUUCACUCACCGUAGCAGUCCCUUGGGUAAGAAAAUGAAUAAGAGAGGGAAGCCAAUAAUUAUUGACCCAAGCCAUUAAGAAAUGCAAUUGAGAGUCUAGAGCUAACUGGUCGCUAGGUUGAGGCUUUGAGCAAGCUCAGGCAUAAAUUAGAAGAUGUGGCAUUCCCGAUUUAUCAAGAACUCUUCAUAUAAUCAUGCUGAUGUGGUUUUUGAAUUGGAUAUUAUGAUGAAAAGAAGACCUAUUUCUUUAAUAGCAUAUUUACUACAAGUUCAACAAUGGGAGUCAAGUAAGUUUUGUAUUUGGGAUUUGUAUCUAAUUCCUUUUGUACAUCAUUUUCUCAAAAUGUUAAAAGCUUACAAACCAUUUUUUUAUAUACUUCCUUUCUUUGUUAUCGUCUUUGUUUGUACGUAGGAUCUCAUGGGUGCUAUUUGAAACCUUAAUUGAUUGGUUUUGUUUCUUA